GCGCCCGUAGCUCAACUGGAUAGAGCAACAGCCUUCUAAGCUGUAGGUUUCAGGUUCAAGUCCUGACGGGCGCACCA
rnacentral:tRNA from 1 species